rnacentral:rRNA from 1 species
CAGUAGCGCGGGAAAACGGAGGGAGCUAGCGUUGUUCGGAAUUACUGGGCGUAAAGCGCACGUAGGCGGCUUUGUAAGUUAGAGGUGAAAGCCUGGGGCUCAACUCCAGAAUUGCCUUUAAGACUGCAUCGCUUGAAUUGCGGAGAGGUGAGUGGAAUUCCGAGUGUAGAGGUGAAAUUCGUAGAUAUUCGGAAGAACACCAGUGGCGAAGGCGGCCCACUGGACGCAUAUUGACGCUGAGGUGCGAAAGCGUGGGGAGCAAACAGGAUUAGAUACCCCCGUAGUCCCUGUCUCUAUACCA